GGGCAGCAGGGGGCGGGGUCUCCUCCCCUCAGAAGUCUCCCGCCCACAGCCCCUCGGGUCCAGACUGACUUCAGUGUUUGUUUGGGGCGCGCGGGGGGGGGGGGAAGAGAUGAUGGCCGAGGGUGUUUGACCCUGGCCUUAAACCAGAGAGAUUACGAGCUGCGUGAUAACACACAUUCUUUUCAGAAAGCAGCCCGGCGUGGUACCCGCGUGUAUGUGGGUAGUGGGGCAGAGGGGCAUAUACCCCCGACCCCGAUUCCAAAGAUUAAAAUGAAUCCACGUUCCCCAACAUCCCUCGAACCUGACUUAAGCCAUCAGAAGAAAAGUUCAGUCUUGAUCGCUUAGCUGGGGGGAAAUUUUUUCUCUCUAUGCAUAUGGCUAUGGUAAUAUAUAUAUAUAUAUAUAUGUGGUAAUGUAUAUUAUAUAUAUAUAUAUACACUACCACAUAUAAUACAUACAAUUUUCUUUUCGUUUACCCUUCUGCCAAGUGUUCCCACACAGGGCCUGGUACCACGUGGAACGCUGGGGGAAGGUGACCAGCCCAGACAAGGUCCUGACUCUCAAGCAGCUGCCUGGGGCAGAGAAGAGGCAGUGGCCACGUCUGGACGGGGUAUCCAGCCCAGGCUCAAGGGCUGCCGGAGGCUCCUGGGAGGAGGUGACACUUGAACAGAGCCUCAAAGGAUAAGCAGUAGUUGUCUAGGAGUGGGUGGGGAUUAGGAACAGGCUGAGGGGAGAGCGAGGGCAGGAGCUGGGUGGGUUCCAGGGGGUGUGAAGAGCUCCGAGGCUCAGAGGCUGGCUGAGGCCAGAGCUGCAGGGGCCUUUGCCAGAAGGUACUGCAGGGUCUGGACCUCUGCCUCUCCCCCUGCUUCCUCUCACCUCUGAGCCUGGGACUGCCACCACAUGCACGUACCCGCGUGCCAGUCCGACUCAUCCACCAUAUCCAGUGUGAACAGGCUCCUGCACAUGUACACACACACGUGCGCGCGCGUGUGCGGGAAUGUGCAUGGAGACCCGUGCUCGGGCUCACCCAGCGCCACACUCCUAAGCAUGACAUUUAGUGAAAGGGAAGAGAGCCCUGAAGCGCAAAUAGGAACGGGGAAGGCACCCCGCCAGGAAGGGGGUCCG
rnacentral:lncRNA from 1 species